AAGCAAGAGAUUAGGUGUUUUCAAUGUCAAGAGCUUGGACAUUAUACACAUGAAUGUCCAAAUAAUAGAAUUAUGAUUAUAUGAGAUGAUGGUGAGUUGAAAUCAGCUAGUGAGGCUCAUUUGAAGGGGAUGUCAAAGCUCAAUGAUUGUAGUGAUGUGGAGUAUGUUGUGCAAGGAGAGUCAUUGAUUAUAAGAAGAUCUUUAAGUGUUCAAGUUUAUGAUGAGGAUGUAGAGCAACAUAGGUAGAAUAUCUUUCAUACUAAGUGCUACAUUGAUAAUAAAAUAUGUAGUAUGAUAAUUGAUAAUGGUAGUUAUACUAAUGUUGCCAGCUCAACUUUGAUUAGAAAGUUGAACCUAAAUGCAUAUAAAAUAUGUUAAGUCAUAUAAGCUUUAGUGGUUGAAUGAAUUUGAAGAAGUUAGGGCAACUAAGCAGUUUUUGGCUUCAUUCAUAGUAGGAAAGUUAAAGAAUAAGGUUGUAUGUGAUGUUGUUCCUGUGAAUGCUACACACAUAUUGUUGAGGAGACCUUGACAAUUUAAUAGGAAGACCAAGCAUGAUAGAUUCAGAAAAAGGUAUAUUGCGGAGAAAUAUGGAAAGAUUUACACGCUCCAUUGUCACCAAGGCAAGUAUAUGUGGAUCAAUUAAAGUUUAAGAAAGUUGAGGAAGCUGAACAAGAAUUUAUAAAAAAUAAUGAUGAGGAUGUGUGAGGUCGAGUGAAAAUAAGAUGAGUCAUGAGUGUGAAACAAUUGAGGAGAGAGUUUUAGCCAUUAGAGAUAGGUUUGAAGAUUUUGGCCAAAAAAAAGAAGAAAACAUAUGGAAGGCCAAAAGUGGAGAGAAG